GCGCAGCAGGCGAGAAUAGUCUACAAUGGACGAAAGUCUGAUAGUGCGACGCCGUGUGUGCGAUUAAUUCCUUCGGGAUGUAAAGCACUUUUCUAUGAGAUAAAAGCUCUUUAGGUUAAUAGCUUAUUGAGACGGAUAUUAUUAUAGGAAUAAGCUCCGGCUAACUCCGUGCCAGCAGCCGCGGUAAUACGGAAGGAGCGAGCGUUGUCCGGAUUUACUAGGCGUAAAGGGCUAGUAGGCGACUAAUUAAGUUAUAUGUUAAAUCCCACGGCUCAACUGUGGUCCUGCAUGUAAUACUGGUUAGAUAGAGUACUGUAGAGGAAGGCAGAAUUCCUGGAGUAGCGGUGGAAUGCGCAGAUAUCAGGAAGAAUACCAAAAGCGAAGGCAGCCUUCUGGGCAGUUACUGACGCUGAAUAGCGAAGGUGUGGGUAGCGAACAGGA
rnacentral:rRNA from 1 species